CCCUUAGAUGUUCUGGGCCGCACACGCGCUACACUGAAGGAGGCAGCGUGUACUCCUGGAUCGAAAGAUUUGGGUAACCCGCGAAUCUCCUUCGUGCUAGGGAUUGAGGUUUGCAAUUAUCCUUCAUGAACGAGGAAUUCCAGUAAGUGCAAGUCAUAAGCUUGCGCUGACUACGUCCCUGCCCUUUGUACACACCGCCCGUCGCUACUACCGAUUGAAUGAUUUAGUGAGGACUUCGGACUGGGACCGAUGCGGCUUUCGGGCUGCGUCGGUAUUCUGGAAAGAUGUCCAAACUGUAUCAUUUAGAGGAAGUAAAAGUCGUAACA
rnacentral:rRNA from 1 species